rnacentral:rRNA from 1 species
UACGAAGGGGCUAGCGUUGCUCGGAAUCACUGGGCGUAAAGGGUGCGUAGGCGGGUCUUUAAGUCAGGGGUGAAAUCCUGGAGCUCAACUCCAGAACUGCCUUGAUACUGAGGAUCUUGAGUUCGGGAGAGGUGAGUGGAACUGCGAGUGGUAGAGGUGAAAUUCGUAGAUAUUCGCAAAGAACACCAGUGGCGGAAGGCG